UUCAUUCUAUUUUUUAGCUUGAUAUUCAAACUCCAACUAAAAAAUCUUAAUUCAUCUACUUAUAAAAGUAACUAUGAUAUAUAGUGGAACUAUAUGUAACUUUGUUCUGUAUUUUCCAAGUCUCCUGUAAAUGUGUUAUCAUACUUUCAUAAUUUAAAAAAUAAAAAACAAAAGAAGAAAAAAAGAUUUAUAAUUUAGUUAAUAGACUUGUUUCUACAUUUGUUAACUG